GCCCUGCUAGCUCAGUGGUAGAGCGUAUCUCUCCUACGUGACGAACAGUGUCUAACCGGAUUCAAGAUGAAGUCGUGGGUUCGACCCCCACGUGGGGCU